UUCAACAUUCUACAACUGGGUCGGUUUUGUUUUCAUCAAACAUAAGUUAGUUCUCUCUCUUUUCCGCUGGUCAGCCUUAAAAAGGUACGUUCCUUUCACUCCCCCCCUUCUCCAUUCUAUUAUUAUAUCUCAAGUAUUAUUCUUUUGUAAGGACUGAUUUUAAAGAAAUCAAGCUGUUUUGAAGAAGAAUUUUCUCUUCCUUUUUUAGGGUGGGAAAAGAAGUUUUUCUUUUUUCUUUUUUCUUUUUAAGCCUGAGCAAAUAACUUUCUUUUUAACAUUAUGAUGCUUAAAUGAAGUGGCAUUUGAUUCUUUGAUAAAGGGGAAGGAAUGAAGCUUUUAUUUAUAUUUGAAGGGAAACUGAUAUAGAAAGUAGAAACUAUCGACCUGAAUAAAUUUCUUGUGCUUGGUUGAAUGAAGUUCUCCUUUUGUGUUAAUCAAAUAGCUUGUUCAUCUCUUGAAUCAGCGGAUUCUGCACAUUUCCUUUAAUAAAGGACAUCUACUACUUGCUAAUCUUCACACAUUCUGAACACUACUGAAUAUUGGGCAUGAUUGGAACUAGAUAGGUGCACCUUUCUUUGUGCCUAGUGAUCAAGAAGAUUUAUUGGAAAGGCAUCCUUCUUCAGACAGUUUGUCAAAAUGAGAAUAAGUGCACCUGAAGGUUUUAAUUCACCCCAUUAGUGAACCUAAUUAUAAAUCAGUACUCUAGCAGGUCAAGUGAGUGUGGAGGAUUGCCAGAGCAAUCUUUUCAACAAACAUCACUUUCAUGUGAUCAUCAGCCUAAAUACCUUCUUUAAGACCUAUCGACUUUUGAACACAUGGAUGACAUUUUCUUGUACAAGUGUAACCUCUGGGACUAAGAUACUUGGUUUUAUGCCUGUAGGAUAAUGAAAUCAUGUGAAACCUGAAAUGCACAAGUGUGGUCUGCAAUGUAGGAAGUCCAUUGC
rnacentral:lncRNA from 1 species